ensembl:rRNA 5S_rRNA 5S ribosomal RNA
GUCUACGGCCAUACCACCCUGAACGCGCCCGAUCUCAUCUGAUCUCGGAAGCUAAGCAGGGUCGGGCCUGGUUAGUACUUGGAUGGGAGACAUUGAAUACUUUCCACUGAGAAUAUGGGAAAAGUAAAGU